ensembl:snRNA U4 U4 spliceosomal RNA
AGCUUUGCACAGUGACAGUAUCAUAGCCAAUGAGGUUCAUCCGAGGCACAAUUAUUGCUAAUUGAAAACUAAAUGCAAACUAUGUUUGUAGGAAGUUAGUCACAUGCUCAUUAUUAGGUGAAGAAAUUUAGACAAUACAAGCGUAU